AAAGAAAAGACGAUCUUUAAUUAGCAGCAGCAUUAUCUCUAUUACUUUGUACUAUGUAGGAACAACAAACUCUUUGUAGCAUCAUCAUCAUUAUCUCUAAGCAGUAGUGCUAUCCCUUUAAUGAUUCCAUGCAUCAUCAAGGCACUGAACAUCCGGCGUGGGAGGAACUGAUCAGCAGGACAAAACCAACAAAACCGAUCAACAUUGAAGAUCACACAAUAAUCAAAGGAUGAAAAGAGAAAAAUAACUACGAAGGAAAGGAGAUAUACAAGACGGAAUCGACCACUCUACCCCAACGAAGUAUACCAGACCGCCAUCUAGAGGCCAAUGAGACAUGCAUGCCAUCUACAGAAGUGUAAAAGAACCAAAAAAACGCUGAUUACAAACCAAACACUGAGUGAAAUCACAAAUAUGAGGCACACUCACCACCACAAGAAACUAUUUGACACAGCGAAUCUCCCACUCGCCGUCAGCGAGAUUCCUCAAGAUCCAAAUUACAUGAUGGAAUCAUAGUAC
rnacentral:lncRNA from 1 species